rnacentral:rRNA from 1 species
CAGUCGCCGCGGUAAAACGGAGGGUGCAAGCGUUAAUCGGAAUUACUGGGCGUAAAGCGCACGCAGGCGGUCUGUCAAGUCAGAUGUGAAAUCCCCGGGCUUAACCUGGGAACUGCAUUUGAAACUGGCAGGCUAGAGUCUUGUAGAGGGGGGUAGAAUUCCAGGUGUAGCGGUGAAAUGCGUAGAGAUCUGGAGGAAUACCGGUGGCGAAGGCGGCCCCCUGGACAAAGACUGACGCUCAGGUGCGAAAGCGUGGGGAGCAAACAGGAUUAGAUACCCGAGUAGUCCCUGUCUCUUAUAC